UUCCGGCCACUGCGUUGUAGUCGGCCCGGCUGCAAAGCGUUUUUCUGCAGGCUGUUUUCCCAGGUUCCCUCGGCCUGUACCUCGCGCACUCCUCUUGCUCCAGGUCCUUCAGUCUCCGCUCGUCUCACCGUAGGCUGUGACGACAUGAGCAACAAAGAAGGAUCAGGAGGGUUCAGGAAAAGGAAGCAUGACAAUUUCCCACAUAACCAAAGAAGAGAAGGGAAGGAUGUUAAUUCAUCUUCACCCGUGAUGUUGGCCUUUAAAUCAUUUCAGCAGGAACUUGAUGCAAGGCAUGACAAAUAUGAGAGACUUGUGAAACUUAGUCGGGAUGUAACUGUUGAAAGUAAAAGGACAAUUUUUCUCCUCCAUAGGAUUACAAGUGCUCCUGAUAUGGAAGAUAUAUUGACUGAAUCAGAAAUUAAAUUGGAUGGUGUCAGACAAAAGAUAUUCCAGGUAGCCCAAGAGCUAUCAGGGGAAGAUAUGCAUCAGUUCCAUCGAGCCAUUACUACAGGUAGAGAAAGAUGUGAGAGAAGGCUUCAUAGUCACAGAAUGGCAUGGAAUCAUGAAAGUAUAUAGUGUGUUUGG
rnacentral:sRNA from 1 species